rnacentral:rRNA from 1 species
UCUCCUGGGAAACGGGUGGUAAUGCCGGAUGCUCCAGUUGAUCGCAUGGUCUUCUGGGAAAGCUUUCGCGGUAUGGGAUGGGGUCGCGUCCUAUCAGCUUGACGGCGGGGUAACGGCCCACCGUGGCUUCGACGGGUAGCCGGCCUGAGAGGGCGACCGGCCACAUUGGGACUGAGAUACGGCCCAGACUCCUACGGGAGGCAGCAGUGGGGAAUAUUGCACAAUGGGCGCAAGCCUGAUGCAGCGACGCCGCGUGAGGGAUGGAGGCCUUCGGGUUGUAAACCUCUUUUAUCGGGGAGCAAGCGAGAGUGAGUUUACCCGUUGAAUAAGCACCGGCUAACUACGUGCCAGCAGCCGCGGUAAUACGUAGGGUGCAAGCGUUAUCCGGAAUUAUUGGGCGUAAAGGGCUCGUAGGCGGUUCGUCGCGUCCGGUGUGAAAGUCCAUCGCUUAACGGUGGAUCCGCGCCGGGUACGGGCGGGCUUGAGUGCGGUAGGGGAGACUGGAAUUCCCGGUGUAACGGUGGAAUGUGUAGAUAUCGAAAAAAAAACACCC